rnacentral:rRNA from 1 species
CCCAGACUCCUACGGGAGGCAGCAGUGGGGAAUAUUGCACAAUGGGGGAAACCCUGAUGCAGCGACGCCGCGUGAAGGAAGAAGUAUUUCGGUAUGUAAACUUCUAUCAGCAGGGAAGAAAAUGACGGUACCUGACUAAGAAGCCCCGGCUAACUACGUGCCAGCAGCCGCGGUAAUACGUAGGGGGCAAGCGUUAUCCGGAUUUACUGGGUGUAAAGGGAGCGUAGGCGGUUUAGCAAGUCAGAAGUGAAAGCCCGGGGCUCAACUCCGGGACUGCUUUUGGAACUGCGCGGCUGGAGUGCAGGAGGGGCAGGCGGAAUUCCUGGUGUAGCGGUGAAAUGCGUAGAUAUCAGGAGGAACACCGGUGGCGAAGGCGGCCUGCUGGACUGCGACUGACGUUGAGGCCCGAAAGCGUGGGGAGCAAACAGGAUUAGAUACCCCAGUAAAU